rnacentral:rRNA from 1 species
AGCUCCAAUAGCGUAUAUUAAAGUUGUUGCAGUUAAAAAGCUCGUAGUUGGACUUCUGGCAGGGCGCCGCGUGCCACAGUAGUGUGCACAAGGGCCCGGCCAUCCUUCUGUAAACGUCGGGGAAGUUUAUUCGUCCGCGGCGGGAUCAGUUAAUUUACCUUGAGAAAAUUAGAGUGUUUCAGGCAGGCGUAGCCGGAAUACAUUAGCAUGGAAUAAUGGAAUAGGACUUAGUCUCUUUGUUGGUUCGAGGGACUGGAGUAAUGAUUAAUAGGGAUAGUUGGGGGCAUUAGUAUUUAUUAGCUAGAGGUGGAAUUCUCUAAUUUGAUAAAGACUAACUUAUGCGAAAGCAUUUGCCAAGGAUGUUUUCAUUA